UAUGGUGAUUUUAGCGUUGGUGUCCACCUCUUCCCAUUCCGAACAGAGAAGUUAAGCCCAACUGCGCAGAUGGUACUAGUAUUUCUGGGAGAGUAUGUCGUUGCCGUAA
rnacentral:rRNA from 1 species